AACGAACGCUGGCGGCGUGGAUAAGGCAUGCAAGUCGAGCGAUCUCGCAAGAGAUAGCGGCAGAAGGGUUAGUAACACGUGGGUAAUCUGCCUUUAGGCGCGGGAUAACCUUCCGAAAGGAGGGCUAAUACCGCAUAACAUUGCAACUCCGCAUGGAGAUGCAAUCAAAGAUGGCCGCAAGGCUGUCACCAAAAGGAGGAGCCCGCGUCCUAUCAGCUAGUUGGUGAGGUAACGGCUCACCAAGGCUUUUGACGGGUAGCUGGUCUAAGAGGAUGGUCAGCAACACUGGGACUGAGACACUGCCCAGACUCCUACGGGAGGCUGCAGUCGAGGAUCUUUAUCAAUGCCCGAAAGGGUGAAUAUGCGACGCCGCGUGUGGGAUGAAGGCCUUCGGGUCGUAAACCAC
rnacentral:rRNA from 1 species